rnacentral:rRNA from 1 species
AUACGUAGGGGGCGAGCGUUGUCCGGAAUUACUGGGCGUAAAGGGUGCGUAGGUGGCACUUUAAGUUGGAUGUGAAAUCCCCGUGCUUAACAUGGGAGCUGCAUCCAAUACUGGAGAGCUAGAGUGCAGGAGAGGUAAGCGGAAUUCCUAGUGAAGCGGUGAAAUGCGUAGAUAUUAGGAGGAACACCAGUGGCGAAGGCGGCUUACUGGACUGUAACUGACACUGAGGCACGAAAGCGUGGGGAGCAAACAGGAUUAGAUACCCUGGUAGUCCACGCCGUAAACGAUGAGCACUAGGUGUCGGGGAGACAAUCCUCGGUGCCGCAGUUAACGCAUUAAGUGCUCCGCCUGGGGAGUACGUUCGCAAGAAUAAAACUCAAAUGAAUUGGCGGGG